UACGAAGGGGGCUAGCGUUGCUCGGAAUCACUGGGCGUAAAGAGCGCGCAGGCGGUCAGAUAAGUCGAAUGUGAAAGCCCCCGGCUCAACUGGGGAGGGUCAUUCGAUACUGUUCGACUCGAAGGCAGGAGAGGGAAGUGGAAUUCCCGGUGUAGUGGUGAAAUGCGUAGAUAUCGGGAGGAACACCAGUGGCGAAGGCGACUUCCUGGCCUGUUCUUGACGCUGAGGCACGAAGGCAGGGAGCGAAACG
rnacentral:rRNA from 1 species